UUCGAGUCCCGGCCCCCGCGGGUUCGAGUCCCGGCCCCCGCGGGUUCGAGUCCCGGCCCCCGCGGGUUCGAGUCCCGGCCCCCGCGGGUUCGAGUCCCGGCCCCCGCGGGUUCGAGUCCCGGCCCCGCCUUCCUGCGGGGCGCUGCGGAGUGGUUGUCCUUCUUGCAGGAGUUGUGCUUUAUUUGUUCGCGUGCUUGCUUGUUGUUGUUUUUCCUUGGCGUUUGCACUUUGUAGGUGUCGAAUAUUUAAGAUGUCACGUGAGCUUUGAGAAAAGUGCCCGUGGGUCAUAGAAGUUCCUGGAGCUGCCUGAAGAGUGUUCGAAAGCUCUUAUUCUUUCCUGUUAGCAAAAAGAAAUUCUCUAGGAUGCGAAAAGUACAUCUUAACAGAGUGCAAAAUGCUGGCCCACUUGUUUUUUGCACACUCUAAGCUGACGUGGUCGCAAGAAGAAAACUUCAUGUGAAGUACAUUCCUAAAAAUAUCAGUGUGAUGGAUUACUGGACCAUAGUUAAACUUUGUAAAGUUGAGAGAGAGAAAAGCUGGGUUUGCAAUACUUGGAGAUGCAGUAAUCGCCAAAGACAGCUGUUGUUUUGAGGUAAACCAUCACGUUUUUCAGGGCCAAGUGUUUGUAAGAGCUACUCAGAACAAAGGCUUGAUAUCCACGCUUGAAAGUGUCAAGUGUGCAUAAAGCACUGGGAGAUUUCAGAAAUGAAGUUCUUCAAUAACAUUUGAGCCAUGAAGAGUCACUAUAGGUCAUUGGAAGCAAUCAGGAAGCAUGUAAUAGCCUAAAGCAGAAAUCAGUGUUGCAAUAUCCCAGAACAUCCUUAUCAAAUACUUCAGCAAACUUGCAAAACCUACUCAGUGUUUACAUGUGAAUUGCAGAUGUUUUAAAAUGCUGCUGAAACUACACAAUCCACACUCUUUAGUACUAGAUUUUGGGGGGUUUUCCCAGCCUGGUGUACUAUGAAAGUAAUACAACUAACUCUGAGUUUUUCAUCUUUUUCACUCUCUUGAACUUUUAAAAAAUUGUGUUGUUGUUAUUCCCAAUGUUUUCCUUCCUUGUCAUUAUUGUGAGGAACUCACUAAAUAUUUUUGCUGUUUUAUCCGGUAUGGAAGGUUAACAAACUCUGGAAGGUCAUUUUUGUAUUUCACUAACAAAACUAAAGUGCAAUUGAAAAAUAAUUUUGGCGUGUGAGGCUUUACUCUCUUAACAAAUCUUGGCUAAGACAAAACCCCAAAAGUGAACCUCAGGUUGUUCAUUGUCUAUAUCAGACUACUGAACAAGAUGUGUUCCAAAGUGUGUCUACUCAGGAAUGUUUUCUUAUCGUGAAAAUUCUGCUGUGACUCUGUAUUUGCUUUAAAAUAGCUAAUGAAAACCUAAAAUUAAAAAAGUCUUCUGUGCUCACAGAUGGAUGAAGUA